rnacentral:rRNA from 1 species
CCAAUAGCGUAUAUUAAAGUUGUUGCAGUUAAAAAGCUCGUAGUUGAAUUUCGGGAUCAAUACGUCGGUCGUGCUUCGGUACGUACUAACAUUAUUGAUUUCUCCCUUCUGACGAAUCGUGAUGUCAUUAAUUUGGUGUUACGGGAGUUAGGACUGUUACUUUGAAAAAAUUAGAGUGUUUAAAGCAAGCAAUAGCUGGAAUACAUUAGCAUGGAAUAAGGUAAUAGGAGGUUCGAACCUAUUUUGUUGGUUUCUAGGAUCUACGUAAUGAUUAAUAGGGAUAGUUGGGGGCAUUAGUAUUCAAUUGUCAGAGGUGAAAUUCUUGGAUUUAUUGAAGACUAACUACUGCGAAAGCAUUUGCCAAGGAUGUUUUCAUUAAUCAAGAACGAAAGUUAGGGGAUCGAAGACGAUCAGAUACCGUCGUAGUCUUAACCAUAAACUAUGCCGACUAGGGAUCGGAUGAUGUUAAUUUUAUAAUGACUCAUUCGGCGCCUUACG